rnacentral:rRNA from 1 species
UACAGAGGUCCCAAGCGUUGUUCGGAUUCAUUGGGCGUAAAGGGCGCGUAGGCGGCUUUGUAAGUUAGAGGUGAAAGCCCGGGGCUCAACUCCGGAACUGCCUUUAAGACUGCAUCGCUAGAAUUGUGGAGAGGUAAGUGGAAUUCCGAGUGUAGAGGUGAAAUUCGUAGAUAUUCGGAAGAACACCAGUGGCGAAGGCGACUUACUGGACACAUAUUGACGCUGAGGUGCGAAAGCGUGGGGAGCAAACAGG